AGUCGAACGCACUUUCGUUAAUUGAUUUUGAGAUGCUUGCAUCGAAGAUGAUUUUAACUAUAAAGUGAGUGGCGAACGGGUGAGUAACACGUGGGUAACCUGCCCAGAAGUGGGGGAUAACACCUGGAAACAGAUGCUAAUACCGCAUAACAAAAUUAACCGCAUGGUUGAUUUUUAAAAGAUGGCUUCGGCUAUCACUUCUGGAUGGACCCGCGGCGUAUUAGCUAGUUGGUGAGAUAAAGGCUCACCAAGGCAGUGAUACGUAGCCGACCUGAGAGGGUAAUCGGCCACAUUGGGACUGAGACACGGCCCAGACUCCUACGGGAGGCAGCAGUAGGGAAUCUUCCACAAUGGACGCAAGUCUGAUGGAGCAACGCCGCGUGAGUGAUGAAGGCUUUCGGGUCGUAAAACUCUGUUGUUGGAGAAGAACGUGUGUGAGAGUAACUGCUCAUGCAGUGACGGUAUCCAACCAGAAAGCCACGGCUAACUACGUGCCAGCAGCCGCGGUAAUACGUAGGUGGCAAGCGUUAUCCGGAUUUAUUGGGCGUAAAGCGAGCGCAGGCGGUCUUUUAAGUCUAAUGUGAAAGCCUUCGGCUUAACCGAAGAAGUGCAUUGGAAACUGGGAGACUUGAGUGCAGAAGAGGAGAGUGGAACUCCAUGUGUAGCGGUGAAAUGCGUAGAUAUAUGGAAGAACACCAGUGGCGAAGGCGGCUCUCUGGUCUGCAACUGACGCUGAGGCUCGAAAGCAUGGGUAGCGAACAGGAUUAGAUACCCUGGUAGUCCAUGCCGUAAACGAUGAAUGCUAAGUGUUGGAGGGUUUCCGCCCUUCAGUGCUGCAGCUAACGCAUUAAGCAUUCCGCCUGGGGAGUACGACCGCAAGGUUGAAACUCAAAAGAAUUGACGGGGGCCCGCACAAGCGGUGGAGCAUGUGGUUUAAUUCGAAGCUACGCGAAGAACCUUACCAGGUCUUGACAUCUUCUGCUAACCUAAGAGAUUAGGCGUUCCCUUCGGGGACGGAAUGACAGGUGGUGCAUGGUUG
rnacentral:rRNA from 1 species